ACCUAACAACCAGAUAAGCUCAGUUGGUAGAGCAUGAAAUACUUGAUCUCAGGGUUGUGGGUAUGAGCCCCACGUUGGGCU